GGUGCUAUAGUGUAGUGAUCAUCAUGUUUGCUUUACAUACAGAAGUUCUGGGGUUCAAGCCCUUGUGCAACUU